GACGAACGUUGGCGGCGUGCUUAAUACAUGCAAGUCCACUGAAGCAGUGGUGGCAAUAUCGCUGUGGAGGUGGCGCACGGGUGAGUAACACGUAGGUAAUCUGCCUUCAGGUCUGGCAUAACUCCGGGAAACCGGGGCUAAUAGCAGAUGAUGCAGCGGCUCGACAUCGAGACAGUUGUUAAAGCUAUGGCGCCUGAAGAUGAGCCUGCGUCUGAUUAGCUAGUUGGCGGGGUAACGGCCCACCAAGGCAACGAUCAGUAGCUGGUCUGAGAGGAUGAUCAGCCACACUGGAACUGAGACACGGUCCAGACUCCUACGGGAGGCAGCAGUAAGGAAUAUUGCUCAAUGGGAGAAAUCCUGAAGCAGCAACGCCGCGUGAGGGACGAAGGGCUUUUGCUUGUAAACCUCUGUAGUGAGAGAAAAAAAUCCCAAUCUUUGGGACAUGAUGGUAUCUCAAAAGUAAGCCCCGGCUAACUACGUG
rnacentral:rRNA from 1 species